ensembl:piRNA 21ur-14464 ncRNA
UUAUUGUGGAAAAGAAAAACA